rnacentral:rRNA from 1 species
UCCGCAACSAGCGCAACCCCUACUGCUAGUUGCCAGCAAGCGAAGUUGGGGACUCUGGCGGAACUGCCGGUGACAAACCGGAGGAAGGUGGGGAUGACGUCAAGUCAUCAUGGCCCUUAUGUCCGGGGCUACACACGUGCUACAAUGGGCGGUACAAAGCGAAGCGAUGCCGCGAGGCUAUAGCAAAGCGCAAAAAGCCGCCCUUAGUUCGGAUUGAAGUCUGAAACCCGACUUCAUGAAGUUGGAAUCGCUAGUAAUCGCAUAUCAGCAUGAUGCGGUGAAUACGUUCCCGGGCCUUGUACACACCGCCCGUCACACCAUCCGAGUUGGGGAUACCCGAAGCCGGUAGUCUAACCGCAAGGAGGACSCUGUCCAAGGUAUGCUUAGUGAGGAGGGUGAAGUCGUAACAAGGUAACCGUACUGGAAAGUGCGGCUGGAUCACCUCCUUUCU